CCAUAACCUCCCGGAAGAUCCACACCACGAAUGAUCUGAUGGGGACAAAAACCCCGGGACUCGAGGGACCUUUGCGGCGGACCCUUAAAACACCUGGCAAUCCCAUUAAAUUGAAACAUGGUACAUAUUUUGCUAUUCUAGUUUUGGCUAAUACGUUCUAUUUCAAGGGUCUCCCAGCCACAGUUUGCCAGCGGGCAGGCGGCGCCGCAGGAAGUGACCGGGCAAGAACGGGGGUCGCCGCCCAGCUGGGCCUCCUGUUCUCUAAGCCCUCGGCCUCGGGCUCCAGGCCACACGGGGAGGCCGUGCUGGGCGGGCCCGAAGAGGGUGGGGCGGGGCCCCGGAAGUGACGUGGGGCGGGGCCAACGGACCGCGGAGGCGGUGGGAGCAGCGCUCGUCAGCCGUUGGGGACCCCAGCCCGCUCGCAUGAAGUAGCUGGCCGACCAAGCCCCAGAAGGCGAGUGCCGGAGGGGGCGGGACAGCUCCUCCGGGGCCAGCCGGCACCAGGCUUGGGGGCUGAGGCCCAGCGGCCCGAGACCAACUGGGCGGACCGAGGCCGCCUCCCUGCCAGCCCUGGGGUCCACUGCCCCAGGGAGCAGCUCCCUUCCGAGGUCAGACUCGGGCUUCAUCCUCUCUUGCCGAGCGCCGAGCGGUUUUCAACUCUCACUGCUAGGAUUCCUCCAGCCAUAGGUCCGAGAUACAUGGCCAGCCAUGACCCGGAACGUCCACUUCCAGGGACAGGCGGUGGUGAUUGGCUUCGGUUGUCAUCUGUGCCAUCUGUCCAUGGUUCGAAAAGCUGCUGUUCACGUUUUGGGGAGGAUCAUGGUUUGAGGGCUCCCAUGGUAGAAUUUGGGGAGCUCUCAUAGGCAGAAGGCUGAGAAAAGUUGGUGCUGUAGGAAGUCAGCUGGCAGCCGAUGGAGUCAGGACCAGGGAGGAAGGGAAAGGGAACCUAGAUAGGAAGCUACUGCAGUAGGCUCAGAGAGGUGAUGAUGGCGGGGCUAAGACAGCGGCCUUGGGCGGUGACUGGGAAGAACAUUGAACACCAUGUUUGGGCUGAAGAAAAGAGCAAGGGAAGAGAUGAGGAGCUUCAGUCCCAGCUGCUCUGGAGGUUGAGGCAGGAGGAUGGCUUGAACCCAAGAGGAGGCUGAAGUGAGCCAAGAUUGCGCCACUGCACUCCAGCCUGGGCGACAGGGCAAAACCCUGUCUCUAAAAAGAACUUUUUAAAAAAGCACCUGCAGAUUUAAGCACAUAAUAACUACACUUUUGUCUGUUUUAUUAUGAUAUCAAAGUUAAAUUUAUGAUGAAUGACUAACUGGACAAAACUGAGAGCAACCACCACAGAGGUGAAUAUACUGAAUGUAUAACACUCUAAUAAUUUUAAGAACUCCACUCUAAUGAGCAGAUAUCACAGAAAGAAACUUUUCAGAUGAAAUACCAAUGACCAGGAAAUCUGUGAGACGAUUUAAAAAAAUUCGAAGUCAUUGAAGAAAUGCAAAGCUUCCAGGCUCCACUUUUCGCUCAUGAAAUUGGCAGAGUUCAGGGCAAUGAGUGUUGCUGUCCCAGGAGUGCGGAUGGGGCUGUGUCCUUCGCUGGCGGUGGGAAUGUGCACUGGCACUCUUGUCCAGAAAGACAUUCACCACUGUGGUUUAAGAAGCAUCUCAAAGGUCUUCACCUUGGUCCCUUGUCCACCUCUGCCCGCGGUCUCUCCUCCUUUCAGCCUCCUCUUUCCCACACAGUCCCUCCUGCCCAGGCUUGGUCCCCUUUCUUCUCUGACUGGGUCAGGCAUGUGGGUGACUCUUUGACUUCCAAGGCUCUGUCUGCUUGGCUUUUUUCUUUCACCUGUUCUGCGGAAUAACCUGAUUCGUUCCUCUUUUUGAGUCCUUCACUUCCAUACCUGGGAUUCGGGGCGUGGCCCAGAAAGACCUUGCAGUCAUGCAGUGUGGGGCUGCCAGCAUUUCAUGGCCUCCAAGCUCAGCUGGGCUGAAUGAACGCUGCUGUCCAGCGCUUGGCUCAGUUUUCUGUCCCAGUUUCCUGAGUGCUUUUGCCAGACUUUCACUUUUCUGAAACCUACUUCACCCUACCCCAGACACCCACCCUCUCUCCUUGGAUGACCUGCCUCCUAAUUUCUAGAGAAAACUGGACAUGGCCACCUUUCCCCAGUGUCUGAGGCCCAGGUUGACCCGUGGUCAUGGUCGCUGUCACCACCCACCUGCCUGUAUGACAGAGUGAGACCCUGUCUCAAAAAAAAACAUAAAUAAAAAGAAUGCCUCCUGUUAGGCUGGGUGUAGUGGCUUAUGCCUGCAAUCCCAGCACUUUGGGGGGCUGAGGCAGGUAUCGAUAGUUUGAGCCCAGGAGGGGUUGUCAACCUGGACAACAGAGGGAGACCCUGUCUCUACAGAUAAUUUUUUAAAAUUAAGGCAGGGCAUGAUGGCUCAUGCACUUAAUCCCAGCACUUUGGGAGGCUGAGUCAGGAGGACUGCAUGAGCCCAGGAAUUCAAGACCAGCCUGGGCAAUGUAGAGAGACCUCCAUCUCUACAAAAAAUUUUUAAAAAUUAAGGCAAGGUAUGGUGGCUGAUGCCUGUAAUCCCAGCACUUCAGGAGGAUGAGGUAGGAGGAUAGAUUCAGCCCAGGAGUUGGAGCCAUAAUCACACCACUGCACUCCAGCAUGGGCAACAGCAUAAGACCCUAUCUGAAAAUACAUAAAUAAAAGAAAAAGUUAGCUAGGCGUGGUGGUGCAUUCUUGUGGUCCCAACUACUCAGGAGGCUGAGAUGGGACAAUCGCCUGAGCAUGGGAAGUCGAGGGUGCAGUGAGCCAUGAUGGUGCCAUUGCACUCUAGCUUCGGUGACAGACAGCCAGACCGUGUCACCAAAAAAAAAAAAGUAUCCUAUGAAAAAUGACAAUUUCCAGUGGAACAAUUAUGAGGAAGAGAUGGGAUCUGCCUGGGCUUUUUCAGUCUUUUGGACAAUUCAAGAUUCCUCUAGCUAAUGAUUUCACAGUUGGUAACAGCUUGUUAGCUUUACGGUGUUUCUUUAAUGUUUGUUAAAUGUUCCUGGGAUACAGGUACCAGAUUACAAUUCACACCAGCCAGGAGGGACAGUGGAAAUUUCUUGAGGAGGCUUGCAGGUCCCUUGGACCUAGGGCACCCAACCAUUUGGGAUGUUUAGGAGAAAAAGGAGGUUUUACUUCCGUCUUCCCUGGGGUUCCAUAUGAAUGUGUCAUCUUGGCCAGUGUUCUUAUGAACUCUAAAUGAAACUGAAGCACGCCUUUAACAUUACUUUAAGAAAGAAUCACAGAAGCCAACCUUAAAUCAUUUAAAAUGUGAAUGAAACUUGAAGCAAUAGAUAGGAAGAACCAUUAUCUGGUCUGUCCUGCAAUUAUUGGAAGUGUUAAAGGAGAUGAAGUUUACAAUGGCUGGGAGUAAUGGCUCAUGUCUCUAUUCCUCAUGCUUUGGGAGGCAGAGUGGGGAGUAUCCCUUGAAGGAAUUUGAGGCUGCAGUGAGCUAUGAUUGUGCCACUGCACGCCAGCCAUGGUGACAGAGCAAGACACUGUCUGCAUCAGAAGAGAGCCCAGCAGCUGCCCAGGCCUUGGUUGGUCCCCAUGGAUGUGGAGCUGUGGCAGGUCAUGCAGAACCAUGUGGAUUGUGCCCUCCAAGCCGGACCGUUCUUGGAUUUCUCCAUAGUGGAGAUAUGGUCGCUGACUUCUCCGAUGGGGAAAACAUUCUGUCUUUCCCUGCUUCAGAGGCGAAACCUCCUUGCCAUUCACACAAUCUAGUUCAAUAGUAUCUACUCUGGCACUGCUAAUCCUCCGGAAGACGCUGUUCAAUCAAGUCUAAAUCAGCCUUCCAGUAGUUUCCAUCUAUUGGGUCUCACCAUACUGUCUCAGCAUGGGGUGGCCAUGAUUUGCUAAGCCUGUUUUUCUCUUCUUUAAAUGGAUGUAACAGCCUUUCUGAAGAUUUUUUUUUUUUUUUUUUUUUUUUUACAUUUGUUGCCCGGUACUCAUUUGGAGGCCUGGAGUCCAGCAGAGUUCCUUUCCGUGUUUUCUGCAGUCCUUCAGCAGGGUCUGCACACUUGAUGGCCUAGAAUUGGGCUGGCCCUCGGCAAUCCUGCCCACCCUGUGGGCAAGUAAGUUUGCUGACAGACUUCAGUAGGCCCCGUGUACCUGAGCUUCAAUGGGGUGGGGUUCUCUCCCAGCCACGUCAGCUGUGUCUACCCCUCCCUGCUCUCUCUUCCCUCUCUUCUCCCUGCCCUGGGUGCUCUUGUAAUAUCCAGCCUCUGGGUUUCCAACUCAUCUAGUAGAUCUCAGAAGCCAUAACCAGUUUCAGGAUCUCUUUCUGGUAUCCUGGGUUUGUAUUCAGGGCCCCUCCUGUCACGUCUGUAACGCUCAACAAUUUAAUGAGCUUCUCUGUGCCUAGGUUUCUAAUCUUUAAAAUGGGUAUAAUAGUAGUAUCAGUCUCAUAGUUGUCUUGAGGAUUAGGUGGGUUAAUAUUUGUAAAGCAUGUAUCAGGUAGGUUAAGAACAGGGUACCUGAAGUAAUACUGCCCAGAUUCAGAGCAGAGCCAGGAAACCUUGGGCAAGUCACUUCUCUGUGCCACAUCUUAUCCACAUCUCUGUAACAUGAGGAUGAUAAUAUAGUUAUUGUAAACUUUUAGGCAAUUAUUUCUUGCAAAGCACCUGGAACAGUGCCAGGCACAUGAUAUGGGCUCAACAAACGUGAGCUGUGGUGAUGGUGACAACCCCUGGAGGGACCCUGAACUUCCCUGUGGUGUCGCCAUUGUGCUGGAGUCUAAUGGCUUAUUUUCCUCAAUAGUUCUCAAGCGCUGUCAGAGCAGGGGAUGGUCAUCAGUAUCCUGACUUCUCUUUUGCUUGAGCUCCUGGAUGGUAUCUUGUGUUUGUAGUUUGUAGAUUUCAUUUUCAUCAAAGCUAAUUGUUCCUUCUACUUUAGAAGUCUGAGCAAUAUGCCUUCAGUGGCCAACUGGAGACUUGUGUUUUAAAACUUCACUGGACUAUCUGUUUAUUGCUGUGAUGAAAUUAUGUCACAAAAACCCAUGUACUCAUUGUGGAACAUGGAAGCAUGAUGGGUACCACCCGAAUGGAGGGGAUACAGUGUGGAUGGGAACCUCUGGCCUCCCCGAAUGUGUUGACUCCAGGACUGGCUGCCAGUCCUGCAGCCGAUCCUGCAAUGCUUGCUUUCAUGCUUUAGGAACGCUCAUUUCUGCCUUUCUGCUGUAAUUGAUGCCAAUAGCUGCCAGUCCUAAAACGCAUCCUGCAGUGCUUGUUUUCUUGCUUUAGGAACGCUCAUUUCUGCCUUUCUGCUGUAAUUGAUGCCAAUAGCUGCCAGUCCUAAAACGCAUCCUGCAGUGCUUGUUUUCUUGCUUUAGGAACGCUCAUUUCUGCCUUUCUGUUGUAAUUGAUGCCAAUAGCUGCCAGUCCUAAAACGCAUCCUGCAGUGCUUGUUUUCUUGCUUUAGGAACGCUCAUUUCUGCCUUUCUGUUGUAAUUGAUGCCAAUAGCUGCCAGUCCUAAAACACAUCCUGCAGUGCUUGCUUUCUUGCUUUAGGAGUGCUCAUUUCUGCCUUUCUGUUGUAAUUGAUGCCAAUAACUUGUAGUUUGCUGCCAUAUCUGAAGCUCUGAUGCUUCCUACAUCUCUCCCAGGUCACUACAAAGAUUUUGAAGUCCCUCAUUCUCUGAUAUUAAGAAUUUCAUACUGGCUUCAGUCUCCUUUAUCUCACUGUUAGGGAACUCUUCCCCUUUUCUGUGCCAUUUAUGAGCACACUUGAGAUGUGGCCACAUUGCUGCCCACUUGCUCCAAGGAACAGCUUAAGCCAGAGUCAAAGCCACCAAACCAGGAAGACAUCCCUAUUGUUCAUAGAAGUCAUCUGGUUGGCUCCAAGAAAAACAUCCAGCGCAGUUGGAUCUGACUUUAAGUCUGGAGGUCCUGUCUCUAAAACAAAGGAGAGAAACUCACAAUGAGAUGUUUCUAGGCAGCGCCUGCUCAGAGGCCCACUCAGGGUAGGGGACUGCCAGGAAACGCAGAGGCCUGGCCUAGGGCCUCAUUAGGGCUGGUCUUUGGUGACAGCCCUAAUAACAGGGCAGGCCUCUGUUCUUCCCUACACCUUCCUCAUCUCUGGGUUGGCCUUGUCUCCCUCUGCAUUAGUGAUUUUCCCCAGCGCCAUGCGUGGCUCCUGCCAGCCUGAUGCUGGCCACCAGGACACACGCUCCAAAACAGCCACCCCCAAAUGCCUUUUCCUGAGUGUGCGUGAGUGCGUGCAUCAGGGAGAACGCUCAUACCCUUCAGUUUUUUACCAAAUGGUAACAUACAGUACCUAUGUAUCCUGCAGCUUGUGGUUUUCACACAAUUGCUUUUUUAAAUGCAGGUAAAAAUUAUACAGUGAAACACAUUCAUCUUGAGUACAAAUCAGUGGGUUAUGACAAAUAUCUGCACCUGUGCCUAAGCAGUACCCUGAGGAGGACACUGAACGUUUCCAUCAUCCAAAAAGUUCCCCAUGCUGUUUGCCAUUCGCCCUCACCCUCCAGCCCCAGCAAGCCCUGUUGAGUCUCAUUGGAGUUCUUUCCUCCACCAAGGGAUAGAAACUCACCUGAUGGCUGCAUGCAGACACUGAGAGUCCCGACCCCUCAUUCAUCACAAUUGAUCCCUUACUCCUGCCUGAUUGCUGUCUUCCUGCUCAUAAUUAAAUUCCUUCCCCCUGCUAUAUAAUGCCCCUGGCUCUUCAGCUGGAGAGAGGGAUUUGAGACUGAUCUCCUGUUCUCUUGGGCUGAUGUCAACCUUAAUAUAAUAAAGUUUUCUUCCCCGGCAUUACUUUUCUUAAUGAUUGGCUUUCUGUGCAGGACCUAUACUGAACCGAUACUGAACCCCUGGCAUUUCAGUAACAGAUUUUGGUCCACUAAUCGGGAAUGGGUUGCCUCUGGCUGGUGGCCGCAGAUGGGGAGAGUCUCAGAGGCCCUCCUAAGCAGCUGCCUGACCCUUUUUUGGCCAAAGGUGGAUUUCUGUCUGUCUCUCUUUGUCCCCACUGCUGCUGACUCUGUGUUCCUAAUUGUCUAGGAAGAGCAGCCUUUGAAAUGUGACAUAUGCAUCUGACCGGUGUCUUUUGUGGGUACCAGAUGGCAGGAUCUGCUUCUCUCAAUUUGGGUGGGGAAUUGUGAAGGAAUUUGCAUUUGCAGGUUGAACAGGCCCAGCUGACUGAGAGGGAAGCACCUCAACUGUUUUGGCUUGGAUGGUCUUGGGGGCUUGUUAGUCGCUACUGUGGUUAGAUUGUAUUUCCAUAAUUAUUUAUGUGUGUGUAUGUGGAUAUAGUCAUGAGAAAUCAGAAUUUGAUCUUAGAAUGUAGGCCACCUGGGUGCAUUCUUUAGAAUUAGUCUGAAUAUAGUUAUGAGCCAGUGGAACAAAGGAAAAUGAUAUUCUUUUGUAACACUGUUUGGCUCCAGUGUUCUUUGAAGUCUGGGGAGGCUGGGACUCUCCAUGGGUCUUUGAAUUGUACUGCUGUCUUAUAAUUGCGUUCAUUUUUCUGUUGGAUGGAAAGGCGGGAUGGAGUUCCAUGUAUCCAGGCUUUUCUGCUGCUGUCCUAAGCACGGUCGGGCCUGGCUGCUUGUGAUGUUCUUCAGUGGUACUGUUUGGCCCCAGUAUUCUUUUAAAGUCUGGGGAGGUUUGGCCUUUAAAAAUCAAACUGCCAUGGAAAGUGAUUUACCCAAAAUUUUGGUUCACAGCCUUCACUGGAUUACCUACUGGGGCAAACAAAGUUUAGCCAUGUGAACAUGUUCAUAAACCAGUGAGUUUGCAUUGCUAUCUAAUGGCUAAAAUUCCAGGGUAAAAGCUGUUGGAUCUUUGUAUGUGUGUAUUUUUCUCUGGAUGUUCUGUAUCAUUUUCACAGGGUACCAAAUUGUCUUAUAAAUAAAAAAGAGUGUGCAUAAAUUAGGUAAAUAAGUCCAGUCAUUUUCCAAGUUCAUGUGACUUAAGUAAAUCUUUAAUAAGCUGGCUUUAACAUUAUUGGUAAAAUAGAAAUGUCUUCAGACUUGUCAGCCUACCUUUUUGUCUGAGUGUUAUAUUUGCUAGAUGUGUUAAGGUGUCAGAGUUUGACAGAAAAGGUUAUAAGACUAUAAACCCAGCCAAGAAGAAAAUGAUCUUAGUGUGUGUGUGGCUUUUUUGACAAAUAAGACUAACGUUGUCGUUUAAUAAAAACAGCUGAAUUUUCUGAGUUAUUGGCAAAUAUACCCAUGUGUUUUAAUUUUAAAGUUCUUAAUUAGGUAAACACCUGAUAUUCAUAGGUUAUAAAAAUGAUUAUCAAGGAAGCAAUGACUGGCUUUGUCUAAUAUCUCAGUUCUCAUAGUUAAUGUAGAGAAAUGGCUAAAAAUGCAUAAAAUAGAAAUGGGGUAAAUGUAUGUGAACUUUUUCUGUAAUUUAAAAAUCUUGAGAUUUUGGUGCUCAUUAGAUGUCUGAGUCAUUUUAAAUUAAGAAAGGGUUAUGACAUGGGGAAAGAUUUUUUAAAAAACUAUGGAAGGUUGUCAUCUAAAAUGCUAAUAUCUGGUAAACAGUUUAGGAUUUCUUGCUUCCUAGGUUUUUCAUUAAAAUGUAAGGUUACUAAUAAUUCUAGUUAAUAUGUAAUUCCGUAUAUAAAAUGUGUCACAGAAGUUAUAUCUUUACUGAGAAAAAGAAUAACAUCUAAUUCAGAAGUUAUCUAAAAGUUGAUUCAAGUUGGGGCCCGCCUCCGCCCCUCCCGCGGCCUGGCGAGCGCGCCUCCCGGCUCCUGUCUCCCUUCCCUCCUUCUCUCUCACGCGUAGCGCAAUGGCGGCGGAGCAGCAACAGUUCUACCUGCUCCUAGGAAACCUGCUCAGCCCCGACAAUGUGGUCUGGAAACAGGCAGAGGAAACCUAUGAGAAUAUCCCAGGCCAGUCAAAGAUCACAUUCCUCUUACAAGCCAUCAGAAAUACGACAGCUGCUGAAGAGCACACAGAGCCCGCCAAUCACGCCAAUAAACUGAAAUUUCCAGUUCAUGUGACCUGUCCAGUUCCAGUGUAAACUUCUGGUCCCAUGACUGAUUGGAAAUGGGUUUCCAGCUAGUUUGGCCAACCACAGUAUUAUCGAGCUUCAAAACAGCACAGACAUCAUUGGACAAGUCAUCGGUUUUUGGAAGAUUUCGACUACUUCCGCUUUUACUUUUACUGGUUCUGCUCAUGAAACAUGAUCUGGUUUCACUUGGACUCCAACCAGGCAGUGCAACUGAUGUUGCUUUUGACCGUCCAGGGACAUUCUCUAGGAUAUCUUGGCAGCCGAUAAGACGCACUUCCAAAGUACCUGUUAAUGCUGCUGGUUUGGAUAGUGUACUAUAUUGAUUUUGUGUAGAUAUCAUACUUUGACGUGGACUUAGUGUUGGUGAUGCAGCAACAAGUGAAAGUUCUUCAAUAAUAAUACUGCUUUGGGGAUGAUUCUUGGGGAGUUCAUUUAAUCUUUGCUCUAAUGAAUACUUUAAAAGGCCCAACUUCUGACUUGAUUCAUUAAAUCUUGCUUGAGCUUCAAAAAAAAAAAAAAAAAAAGUUGAUUCAAAUUAUGGAGUUGGGGCCAGGCACAGUGGCUCGUGCCUGUAAUCCCAGCAUUUUGGGCGGCCAUGGCGGGGGGAUCACCUGAAGUCGGGAGUUUGAGAUCAGUCUGGCCAACAUAGCGAAACCCUAUCUCUACUAAAAAUAUAAAAAUUAGUCGGGCGUGGUGUUGAGAGCCUGUAAGCCCGGCUACUUGGGAGGCUGAGGCAGGAGAAUCACUUGAACCCAGGAGGCAGAGGUUGCAGUGAGCCGAGAUUGCGCCACUGCAAUCCAGCCUGAGCAACAAGGUUAUCUAAAUGGGCUUCCCAUAAGGAGAAGCAAUUACACUGCAGAAGGUCUUUCUUUGCCUUUUGGUAACUGGCCUAACGAACAGAUUUACGUUUUAUUGAUAAUUCCUAUGUCAUCAUUAGUUUUUAUAUUGCUUAAAAAUAAAUCUAACAGAAUUAAGGUUUUUACAUCCAUGUAACUUUCUAUAUUGCUUCUAAAGUCCUUCUGCUGUUAAGUUUCCUGAGUCUGAAAAAGGCACAGAUUCCUGCUAAAUCUUGAACACUGACGCCAGUCAAAGCCUCAUCUUCAGACCUGGGAGAAGGCGACAAUCGAAAUGAAAUGCUUUCAUGAGAUGCAGGGCCAGCAAUUACAAGUAUUCAAUCCCCCUAGGCCCAGGGACUAUCGCGGAAGAGGUGGGCGCGUGAGAUUGUAAGGGCCGACUUCGAGGGAUAAAAUUAGAGUUUUUCUAUAAACAUUAAUGUCAAAGGCACACUGAUGCCAGGCAAGCAUCUGGCUUCUGUGUCGGAAUGACAAUUUUCCUGGACCACUGAUCUACUCUUUAAUAGAAAAUUGUAAAAGGUUAUACAAGGUGUAUGGAAAUCUUACUUCAUGGUCAAACUGAUUAAAAUUAGAUUUGUUUAUAAGGUUUUAAUUAGUUUUAACAUUAAUAAUACCCCUAAAACAUUAGUAAGAGAUCAAAGAUUUUUGUUUACCUUUUAAGUAAACUACAGGAAAAAAGAAGGAGAGAGACAGACAUUUAGUUGGCUUCCUGCUGUCUUCAUUGGGUCUUACAGUUGGGGAAACUGAGUCUCCUUCGUAUCAAUGAGUAAAGGUCUUUGGUGUUUUGUUUUUUUGUUUGUUUUUUUUUUGAAAUCUUUGAAUUAUCAUUUUGGCUAAAUGAAUAACUAUUUUAUAAUGAACUGUGAUCCUAUUUUGUGGCAUCAAAUGUUUUACACUUUUGAUAUUCGACUGAUGAACUUCCCAACAUCAAAAUUUCAACUUCUGGCUGGCUACAGUGGCUCAUGUCUAUAAUCCCAGCACUUUGGGAGGCUGAGACCAGGCAGGCAGAUCAUUUGAGUUCAGGAGUUUGAGACUAGCCUGGCUAAAAUGGUGAAACUCCACCUCUACUAAAACUACAAAAAUUAGCCAGGUGUGGUGGUGUGUGCCUGUAAUCCCAGCUACUAGAGAAUCACUUGAACCUGAGAGGCAGAGGUUGCAGUGAGCUGAGAUUGUACCACUGCCCUCCAGCGUGGGUGACAGAGCAAAACUCUGUCUAAAAAAAAAAAAAAAUCAAGUUGUAAAUUCAAUCUCUUUGACCUUAAGCUAACUUAAAAAAAGGCUGGCCAUGGUGGCUCACACCUGUAAUCCUAAUCCUAGCACUUUGGGAGGCCAAGGUGGGUGGAUCAUUUGAGGUCAGGAGUUUGAGACCAGCCUGGCCAACAAGGUGAAACCCCAUCUCUACUAAGAAUACAAAAAUUAGCCGGAAAUCACUUGAACCCAGGAGGUGGAGGUUGCAGUGAGCCGAGAUUGUGCCACUGCACUCCAGCAACAGAGCGAGACUGUCUCAAAAAAAAAAAAAAAAUUAAUGGUGGAUGCAGUGGCUCACACCUGUAAUCCCAGCACUUUGAUAGGCUGAGGUGGGCAGAUCACUUGAGCUCAGGAGUUUGAGACCAGUCUGGACAAUACAGUGAGACCUUGUCUCUACAAAAACAAAACAAAACAAAACAAAAACCAACCAAACAAAAAACCCAACAAAACAAAAAACAUGAAAAUCUGGGCAGGGUGGCAUGUGCCUGUAGUCCCAGCCACUCUGGAGACUGAGAUGGGAGGAUUGCUUGAGCCCAGGAGAUCAAGGCUGCAGUGAGCUGUGCUGUGAUUACACCACAGCACUCCAGCCUGGACUACAGAGUUUUGGAGACCCUGUCUCCAAUAACAACAACAAACAAACAAAAAUAUAUAUAUAUUUUUAAAAGAUAUUAGGUCCUCUGGCUGGGCACGGUGGCUCACACCUGUAAUCCCAGCACUUUGGGAGGCCAAGGCAGGUGGAUCACAAGGUCAGGAGAUCGAACCAUCCUGGCCAACACAGUGAAACCCUGUCUCUACUAAAAAAAUACAAAAACUUAGACGGGCGUGGUCAUGGGCACCUGUAGUCCCAGCUAUCGGGAGGCUGAGGCGGGAGAAUGGCAUGAACCCGGGAGGUGGAGUUUGCAGUGAGCCUCCAGCCUGGGCGACAGAGCGAGACUCUGUCUCAAAAAAAAAAAAAAAAGGCAUGCGGUCCCCUGAAGUCCAAAAGAGACAUAUUAGGCUUAUUUGUUAUGUUAAAAUUACACAGGAAGCAUUGUCAAAUAUGAAAUGGUGUUUAAUCUUCUUUGGGUUAUAUUUAUAUAAAUGUGUUUUUAAUGUGUGCCAAAAUUACAUGGCAUUCCUAAAAUCCUGAUAUGUCUUAGUAUAUGCCAUUAGUAAUAUGUGUAUUAUGUUAAAUUGUUGUAUGCCACAGAAAUAACCAGAUUUCCUUGACAAUUGUAUCUUUAAUGUGUCUUUGACUAGGAUGUCUUAAAAAUUUUAUCAUCUACAAUUAUUGUUUUAUUGGAUUCUUCUCAAAAAGUGGUCUACAGUCAACUACAGUCCAAAAUUUGCUCCUUGGAAGACUCCUGAAUGCAGGUUUCUGAUGAUGUCAGAGAGACUGUGCUGUUGGAUUAGACAGAAAACUUCUAGGACUCUAAUUAAAAGGCUGAUGUGGUCAUAAAGAUUGCUAACCCAGUAUGAAGCAGAACAAGAGUUAAUUGCAUGGACUGAGCUAAUAAGAGGACUGAACUAAUUCUUUUGUGACUUUUUUGGUUGGAAACAUUGCUUGUCAAAUUUUUUUUCUCUUGAGCUAUUUGUAGCCCUUAACAAUUGACUAUACUCUGGUAAAUAAAAUUUAAAUCAUA